UGAUCUCCAGCUUGCUGGGGGGAUUAGUGGCGAACGGGUGAGUAACACGUGAGUAACCUGCCCUUGACUCUGGGAUAAGCCUGGGAAACUGGGUCUAAUACCGGAUAUGACCUUCCAUCGCAUGGUGGUUGGUGGAAAGCUUUUGUGGUUUUGGAUGGACUCGCGGCCUAUCAGCUUGUUGGUGGGGUAAUGGCCUACCAAGGCGACGACGGGUAGCCGGCCUGAGAGGGUGACCGGCCACACUGGGACUGAGACACGGCCCAGACUCCUACGGGAGGCAGCAGUGGGGAAUAUUGCACAAUGGGCGCAAGCCUGAUGCAGCGACGCCGCGUGAGGGAUGACGGCCUUCGGGUUGUAAACCUCUUUCAGUAGGGAAGAAGCCGUAAGGUGACGGUACCUGCAGAAGAAGCGCCGGCUAACUACGUGCCAGCAGCCGCGGUAAUACGUAGGGCGCAAGCGUUAUCCGGAAUUAUUGGGCGUAAAGAGCUCGUAGGCGGUUUGUCGCGUCUGCCGUGAAAGUCCGGGGCUCAACUCCGGAUCUGCGGUGGGUACGGGCAGACUAGAGUGAUGUAGGGGAGACUGGAAUUCCUGGUGUAGCGGUGAAAUGCGCAGAUAUCAGGAGGAACACCGAUGGCGAAGGCAGGUCUCUGGGCAUUAACUGACGCUGAGGAGCGAAAGCAUGGGGAGCGAACAGGAUUAGAUACCCUGGUAGUCCAUGCCGUAAACGUUGGGCACUAGGUGU
rnacentral:rRNA from 1 species